UCUGGGCGUGUCCCCCUCUGGGUUGUGCACAAGCAGGCUCUAGGUGUGUCCCAGCUCAGAGCAGCUCCGCCAGCGGGGUGUUUCUCCCCUGCAGGGAAAUUCCAGGGGGCAGAGCCGGCCUCAGCUGCGCUCAGCCUCGCCCCGCAGCCAUACAGCUGGCCAGUUUCCCCAAGCACGACUGCUCCUCCAGACAUCGUAGAGGGUGGGAUGUGUGAGCUUUUCUCCUGGAGAGGGCACCCCCCCUCCCCCGUGUCUUCUGGCCCUGUGGAAUUGGGAGGUACAGAGGAAUGGAAGAAACCCACCACCCUAACUCACAUUCGGAACCUGGGGCCCCCAUGUGCACGCUCCACUGACGCCACCCCCAGAAAGGAUCAUGGAGAGGAGGCCACGUGCCCAGCUGAGAUGGGAACCGACCUAGUCCCGGUUCACUGGCUGGUGGAAACUCAGGCAAGAGAAGGAAUGAUUAAGGGAACAUGCAGGAGGAACAGCAAUGAGACAUCAUCCUAAUUCCGCCUCUGCUGGGGGGACUACCCCGCUCCUUCUGCCCUUGCUGAGUUCCCUGUGCCAGUCUCAGGAAUGCUGAACCAAACCCGUAGACCCUGAGCACCCCCAACCAGCCUGGCCUUUGGACAAGGAGAAGAGGA